rnacentral:rRNA from 1 species
UACGUAGGGUGCAGGCGUUAAUCGGAAUUACUGGGCGUAAAGCGUGCGCAGACGGUUGCGUAAGUCAGAUGUGAAAGCCCCGGGCUCAACCUGGGAAUUGCAUUUGAGACUGCGUAGCUAGGGUGCGGAAGAGGGAAGCGGAAUUUCCGGUGUAGCGGUGAAAUGCGUAGAUAUCGGAAGGAACACCAGUGGCGAAAGCGGCUUCCUGGUCCAGCACCGACGUUCAGGCACGAAAGCGCUGGG